rnacentral:rRNA from 1 species
UGACGGAGCAACGCCGCGUGAGUGAUGAAGGUCUUCGGAUCGUAAAACUCUGUUAUUAGGGACGAACAUAUGUGUACGUAACUGUGCACAUCUUGACGGUACCUAAUCAGAAAGCCACGGCUAACUACGUGCCAGCAGCCGCGGUAAUACGGAGGUGGCAAGCGUUAUCCGGAAUUAUUGGGCGUAAAGCGCGCGUAGGCGGUUUUUUAAGUCUGAUGUGAAAGCCCA